rnacentral:rRNA from 1 species
GGCAAACGGGUGCGGAACACGUACAGAACCUUCCUCCGAGUGGGAGAUAGCCCGGAGAAAUCCGGAUUAAUAUCCCAUAGAAUUACUUGGUGGCAUCACUUGGGUAAUUAAAGAUUUAUCGCUUGGAGAUGGCUGUGCGGCUGAUUAGGUAGUUGGUUGAGGUAAAGGCUCACCAAGCCAACGAUCAGUAACUGGUGUGAGAGCACGACCAGUCACACGGGCACUGAGACACGGGCCCGACUCCUACGGGAGGCAGCAGUAAGGAAUAUUGGUCAAUGGACGCAAGUCUGAACCAGCCAUGCCGCGUGAAGGAUGAAGGCCCUCUGGGUUGUAAACUUCUUUUAUGUGGGAAGAAAUCCUUAUUUUUUAAUGAGGUUGACGGUACCAUAGGAAUAAGCACCGGCUAACUCCGUGCCAGCAGCCGCGGUAAUACGGAGGGUGCAAGCGUUAUCCGGAUUCACUGGGUUUAAAGGGUGCGUAGGUGGGAAUGUAAGUCAGUGGUGAAAUCUCCGUGCUUAACAUGGAAACUGCCAUUGAUACUAUGUUUCUUGAAUUUUCUGGAGGUCAGCGGAAUAUGUCAUGUAGCGGUGAAAUGCUUAGAUAUGACAUAGAACACCAAUUGCGAAGGCAGCUGGCUAC